rnacentral:rRNA from 1 species
GAUGAACGCUAGCGGCAGGCUUAAUACAUGCAAGUCGUGGGGCAGCACAGUGUAGCAAUACAUGGGUGGCGACCGGCAAACGGGUGCGGAACACGUACGCAACCUUCCUUUAAGUGGGGGAUAGCCCAGGGAAACUUGGAUUAAUACCCCGUAAUAUUAUUAAGUGGCAUCACUUUAUCCUUAUAGCUCCGGCGCUUAAAGAUGGGCGUGCGACUGAUUAGGUAGUUGGCGGGGUAACGGCCCACCAAGCCUGCGAUCAGUAACUGGUGUGAGAGCACGACCAGUCACACGGGCACUGAGACACGGGCCCGACUCCUACGGGAGGCAGCAGUAAGGAAUAUUGGUCAAUGGACGCAAGUCUGAACCAGCCAUGCCGCGUGGAGGAUGAAGGUCCUCUGGAUUGUAAACUUCUUUUAUUUGGGAAGAAACCCACUGUUUCUACGGUGGUUGACGGUACCAGAUGAAUAAGCACCGGCUAACUCCGUGCCAGCAGCCGCCGUAAAAC